GAGUUGGCGAUGGAAAUAGCUGGGGUGUCAUUAUUCUUGCUUGAUCUGGGCGUAUCACUGUUGACCUGCUGGAAGAGGAGUGCUGGGAGUACAACAUACAAGCUGACGUCGGUAUCGCGACAUCAUCAGGGAGGUCGGCAAUGAGAACAUGCGAUGUUCAAAUUGACUAUGGGAUGUUCGUGGCAAUGGUGAAGAAGGGGAUCAUCAGGAAUGGAAGUCUGACCAUCAUUCUCCAUGGAUCAGACGACCUCGACUAUCCUUUGAUUGAAAUAUUCAUAUACAACACACUAUAUUUGUUCGCAUUGUGCUAUAGAUCAUAUCAAUAUUUUUAAGUCAAGUCAUGUAAAAAAACUGAGGAUAACAAGUAUAGGAGAAGCUUUAAUAUUAGAGCAACAGGGGAGGAGCAAAUGAUUGAAUGGGCUAUCAUCCGUGUAAAAUAAAACUGAGGGUAACAUCACCAGGUGGAAAACUAUAUUUGAUUGACAUCAUAACACUAGCAAGGUGAAUAACAAUGUAACAUUAUCUUUUCA